rnacentral:rRNA from 1 species
UACGAAGGGGGGCUAGCGUUGCUCGGAUUGACUGGGCGUAAAGGGCGCGUAGGCGGUUCGUACAGUCAGACGUGAAAUUCCUGGGCUCAACCUGGGGGCUGCGUUUGAUACGUGCGGACUUGAGUGCGGAAGAGGGUCGUGGAAUUCCCAGUGUAGAGGUGAAAUUCGUAGAUAUUGGGAAGAACACCGGUGGCGAAGGCGGCGAUCUGGGUCGAUACUGACGCUGAGGUGCGAAAGCGUGGGGAGCAAACAGG